rnacentral:rRNA from 1 species
AGAGUUUGAUCAUGGCUCAGAACGAACGCUGGCGGCAGGCCUAACACAUGCAAGUCGAACGCCCCGCAAGGGGAGUGGCAGACGGGUGAGUAACGCGUGGGAACCUACCCAGUGGUACGGAACAACCCAGGGAAACUUGGGCUAAUACCGUAUACGCCCCUAGGGGGAAAGAUUUAUCGCCAUUGGACGGGCCCGCGUUGGAUUAGCUAGUUGGUGGGGUAAUGGCCUACCAAGGCAACGAUCCAUAGCUGGUCUGAGAGGAUGAUCAGCCACACUGGGACUGAGACACGGCCCAGACUCCUACGGGAGGCAGCAGUGGGGAAUCUUGGACAAUGGGCGCAAGCCUGAUCCAGCCAUGCCGCGUGAGUGAAGAAGGCCCUAGGGUUGUAAAGCUCUUUCGGCGGGGACGAUAAUGACGGUACCCGCAGAAGAAGCCCUGGCUAACUCCGUGCCAGCCGCCGCGGUAAUAC